CCCUUAGAUGUUCUGGGCCGCACGCGCGCUACACUGAUACGUUCAACGAGUCCAAAACCUUGAUUGAUAGGUCUGGGUAAUCUUUUGAAUACGUAUCGUGCUAGGGAUAGAUUAUUGCAAUUAUUAAUCUUGAACGAGGAAUUCCUAGUAAACGCAGAUCAUCAAUCUGCAUUGAUUACGUCCCUGCCCUUUGUACACACCGCCCGUCGCACCUACCGAUUGGAUGGUCCGGUGAAGCCUCGGGAUUGUGGUUCUUGCCGCUUUAUUGUGGCGUGACCGCGAGAACUUGUCUAAACCUUAUCAUCUAGAGGAAGGUGAAGUCGUAACA
rnacentral:rRNA from 1 species